GGCAAGAUGGCCGAGCGGUCCAAGGCGGAGCACUCAAGGUAUUACACCUUCCCCGAAAAGGGGAGAUAUGCUCUCUCGAAAGAGGCGCGAGUUCGAAUCUCGCUCUUGUCA